rnacentral:lncRNA from 1 species
GGCGAUUGCUCUCUAGAUCUGUGGGGACUGAGAAUUCAGAGGAAUACACACAGCUGAGACAGGAGGCUGAGCCACAUGAAGACACAGUCAAAUUCAAGAGGGCAAAACCAGAUGCUGAACAUUAGAAGAAGAUAACAGGCAUAAGAAGGCCUGAAGACAGAAAGUGCCUCAGUUGAAAAGGAUGCUGAAACCAUCAGAACAUUCAUGUUACCUUCAGUGGCUGACCAUGCUACACUCAUCUGUGAAGGUUCAAGAAAUACACAGCAAUAAGUGAAUACCAGGCCCAUGUUUUUCUUUGCGUUAAACCUAAAACCCAGCUGAAAAGAGAAUCAGAGAGAGAAUAGAAGAUUGGCACAUGACAGAGCCUUGAACUCCCUCCCUAAGGUAAACGGAGCAACAUCUCACACCUCCUGUUGGAGUUAACCAAGUGAUACCGUUGGUAUAUUUGCCCUGCCCAAAUCUCACGUUGAAACGCAAUUCCCAAAGUUGGUGGUUGUGCCUGGUGGGAGGUGAUUGGAUCAUGGGGGUGGAUUUCUCAUGCAUGGCUUAGCACAAUCCCUUUGAUGCUGUCCUCACGACAGUGAGUUCUCGCGAGAUUUGGGUGUUGAAAAGUGUGUGUCACCCUGCCCCCAUUCUUGCUCCUCCUCCCACCAGGUGAGAUGCCU